CUGCUGCCUCCCGUAGGAGUCUGGGCCGUGUCUCAGUCCCAGUGUGGGGGGCCUUCCUCUCAGAACCCCUACGCAUCGUCGCCACGGUGGGCCGUCACCCCGCCGUCUAGCUAAUGCGCCGCAUGCCCAUCCGCCACCGGAUCGCUCCUUUGGCCACCGGAGGAUGCCCUCCGGUGGCGUCACGGGGUAUUAGGCCGCGUUUCCGCGGGUUAUCCCCUGUGGCGGCCAGGUUGCAUACGUGUUACUCACCGUGCGCCGGUCGCCGGG
rnacentral:rRNA from 1 species